GACGAACGCUGGCGGCGUGCCUAAUACAUGCAAGUCGAGCGCAGGAAACUGACGGAACUCUUCGGAGGGAAGGCAGUGGAAUGAGCGGCGGACGGGUGAGUAACACGUAAGGAACCUGCCUCAAGGAUUGGGAUAACUCCGAGAAAUCGGAGCUAAUACCGGAUAGUUCAUCGGACCGCAUGGUCCGUUGAUGAAAGGCGCUCCGGCGUCACCUUGAGAUGGCCUUGCGGUGCAUUAGCUAGUUGGUGGGGUAACGGCCCACCAAGGCGACGAUGCAUAGCCGACCUGAGGGGGUGAUCGGCCACACUGGGACUGAGACACGGCCCAGACUCCUACGGGAGGCAGCAGUAGGGAAUCCUCCACAAUGGACGAAAGUCUGAUGGGGCAACGCCGCGUGAGUGAUGAAGGCUUUCGGGUCGUAAAGUUCUGUUGUAAGGGAAGAACAAGUGCCGCAGGCAAUGGCGGCACCUUGACGGUACCUUGCGAGAAAGCCACGGCUAACUACGUGCCAGCAGCCGCAGUAACAC
rnacentral:rRNA from 1 species